UUACUACUUCCUCCGUCCGGAAAUACUUGUCCUAGAAAUGGAUGCAUCUAGACUUAUUUUAGUUAUAGAUACAUCCAAUUUAUCCAUUUUAAGAACAAAUAUUUCCGGAUGGAGGGAGUACCUA
rfam:Triticum aestivum genome assembly, contig: Triticum_aestivum_CS42_TGACv1_scaffold_271521_3DS